CAAGAAAGUACUGGCGAAACGAUGUGCAUGUGCGAGACUCUUUUCGAGAUCGCCUUGUUGGGCCUCAUUUGCCUGGAGGCGUUGAGGCGAUCAUAAAUGCAAUUGAGUCAGUCGUAUUUGCAUUUUGUGCCUUGCUCCUGCUCUUGGCCACCAUGACUGCCAGCAAGAAGUUGAUGGACGCAUUCAUAUUCUGUGCGAAGGCACGAAUUGCGUUCUAUUGCCUCCGAUGUG